ACCGGCCUAGCCACUGUAGCUAUGAGCAAACCCGGCUCGGAAAAGGGCGGGCGGGCGGCGGCGGCCCCUGAAGCCCAGGGACAAAAGGGGCCGAACCGCCCUUCCCUUUGUCUCGGGCCGGGCCGGGGGCAGCUCUGAGUUAGGGAAGGAGGAGGAGGGAAACAAGAGCCCAGGUCGGCGCGGGGGCGGCCGGCUGCCUCCUGGCUUCGAAGGGCUCCAGGUCUUUAGGAAACCCAACCAAACUGAAGCAAAGAGUUGCUGAGAGCCAGAGAACCAAGGAAAUGGGGCAGCUGGGCCUCUGCAAAGGGUGGGCCCUGGUUACUGGGCCCAGGACCGGUACUGGUAGGCUCCCGUGCUGAGGAAAUAACCCAGGGGCUCCGAGGGGCCGCCGAGGAACCGGCAACGGACAAAGAACGCCCGAACCUUCCCUCCAGAGGCGCGGGCUUGUGUGCCCUGGACCGGCCCGUUAGCUUUGGACACCUAGAGUAGCCAGGCCAGGAUGAAGAGGCCUUACUUUUCAGACUACCCUUCAUUCAGCUCUUGGUUAUUUAGUCUGCCCUAAGGUAUGGACCUCUAGACCUACCUGCCUACAGGAUUCCUGGAAAGUAUAUAAGCUACUAGCGGUUCUGUGGAAGCCUCCGGAUAGGAGUUGAACAGGGCCUGCUUUAUAUAGGAUGCAUGUGUGUCUUCUGUUUGGCUUCAAAAACGACAAGAACGAGGAAGAAAAUAAAACUUCAAUAUGGGAGUUGAGCUGGACUGGCUUGAGUUGUCAUGCAGAGACGAGGAAUACAGCUCAAACCAUGGGGCUGCCAAUUAAUAUUCCAUCCGACAAGAUUAUUUAUGAGUGUUCAGCAUUGAGAAUGUUUAAUCGAGGAACAUUUGGAUAAUUACAACAGCAAAGUGUCGUUUUGUUUGCCAGUCAGUUUUAUUGAAUGAUCCAUCUCUAGGCUGUGAAAUUGUGCAAUUGUAUUAAUGUGCAAUUGUGGAUUCCAGGGAAAGGUAUUCAGAACAUAAAAAUGGGCCUGACCUUUGAUUACUGCUCUCUUGUUUUGAGGCACAUGAAAUAAA